rnacentral:lncRNA from 10 species
AAGACCAAGCGCGAUCGCGGAAGGAAGUGGUGGCCCCCGCGGGGUCUCCGCGCAAGUCCCGGCACCGCCGGAUCGUGGCCAGAACCCAACGGCCACUAGGCUAGCGCGGCCAGGGGUUGGAGUGCAAUGGCGUGAUCUCGGCUCACCGCAACCUCUGCCUCCCAGGUUCAAGCGAUUCUCCUGCCUCAGCCUCCCGAAAAGCUGGGAUCACAGGCGUGCGCCACCACGCCUGGCUAAUUUCGUAUUUUUAGUAGAGACGGGGUUUCUUCAUGUUGGUCAAGGCUGGUCUCGAACUCCGGACCUCAAGUGAUCCGCCCAGUUCGGCCUCCCGAAGUGCUGGGAAGCCACCGCGCCUGGCCCAAUAGAGAUGGGGUUUCACCGUGUUAGCCAGGAUGGUCUCAAUCUCCUGACCUUGUGAUCCGCCCGCCUUGGCCUCCCAAAGUGCUGGGAUUACAGGCGUGAGCCACCGCGCCCGGCCGAUUCCAGUGUCUUAUACUCUGAAGGGACUCGUGAGGGAAGAGGAGAGAGCUGGGUAUGUACUGUGUGCAG